rnacentral:rRNA from 1 species
AUUAAACGCUGGCGGCAUGCCUUACACAUGCAAGUCGAACGGUAACAGGUCUUCGGAUGCUGACGAGUGGCGAACGGGUGAGUAAUACAUCGGAACGUGCCUAGUAGUGGGGGAUAACUACUCGAAAGAGUGGCUAAUACCGCAUGAGAUCUACGGAUGAAAGCAGGGGAUCGCAAGACCUUGUGCUACUAGAGCGGCCGAUGGCAGAUAAGGGAGUUGGUGGGAUAAAAGCUUACCAAGCCGACGAUCUGUAGCUGGUCUGAGAGGACGAUCAGCCACACUGGGACUGAGACACGGCCCAGACUCCUACGGGAGGCAGCAGUGGGGAAUUUUGGACAAUGGGCGCAAGCCUGAUCCAGCAAUGCCGCGUGCAGGAUGAAGGCCUUCGGGUUGUAAACUGCUUUUGUACGGAACGAAAAGCCCUGGGUUAAUACCCUGGGGUCAUGACGGUACCGUAAGAAUAAGCACCGGCUAACUACGUGCCAGCCGCCGCCGUAA